rnacentral:lncRNA from 1 species
CACAUGCGACUUCCAGGUCCUCCUUGAAAGGAGUCAAGGGAAGAUGAAGAAUUUUGCUUCUUUCAACCAUAAAUAUUAGUUUCUUUACCCCAUCACGAGAUUCUAUUAUUUGAGAAUAAUUUCUGCACGCAUCCUCUGAAAUCCUUAAAGCACCUUACUGAAGUUCAGUUUCUCCCCUUUUCAUCUUCCUACCAAAUUUGUGGAUACCCAAUCUCGAAUCAGAGAGGGACAAGAAUUGCCUGGAGUCACACGGCAUCUGGCAGUUCCACGAUCCCUCAGUGUUUCUACUUGUUUGUUUGUUUGUUUGUUUGUUUGCUUUUUCCCAUUUGUGUCCUAUCUGGCUGAAGCUCCAGCUGCUGCUGCAGUCUCACUCUCUGUGGGAGGUCACAAGCCACCAGCCAUCAGUCCAGUAAGGAAGUGUUCUGUACACCUUUAGCUGCAGCUGGCAUAGAGCUCAGGGGCGGCUGUCCCUCAAGAAGCUGACAAGUGUGGGAGAGGAGCAAACACCAUGCAUGUCACUGUCCCAUCGAGUCACUACCAGCUCAGAAGGACUUGAGGGAUCUGUGCUACUGGUCCCCCAACACCUGCCUGUGUCUCUUCCUGUACUCUAUCCCCAGGAGACGGCCGUGUCAUCCCCUGUUGCACAGUUGAGGG